AGUGAACGCUGGCGGUAGGCCUAACACAUGCAAGUCGAACGGCAGCACAGUAAGAGCUUGCUCUUACGGGUGGCGAGUGGCGGACGGGUGAGGAAUACAUCGGAAUCUACUUUUUCGUGGGGGAUAACGUAGGGAAACUUACGCUAAUACCGCAUACGACCUACGGGUGAAAGUAGGGGAUCUUCGGACCUUGCGCGAUUGAAUGAGCCGAUGUCGGAUUAGCUAGUUGGCGGGGUAAAGGCCCACCAAGGCGACGAUCCGUAGCUGGUCUGAGAGGAUGAUCAGCCACACUGGAACUGAGACACGGUCCAGACCCCUACGGGAGGCAGCAGUGGGGAAUAUUGGACAAUGGGCGCAAGCCUGAUCCAGCCAUACCGCGUGGGUGAAGAAGGCCUUCGGGUUGUAAAGCCCUUUUGUUGGGAAAGAAAAGCAGCAGGUUAAUACCCCGCUGUUCUGACGGUACCCAAAGAAUAAGCACCGGCUAACUUCGUG
rnacentral:rRNA from 1 species